UGGACUGAUACUGACUGGUCGAGGCCACUG
rnacentral:piRNA from 1 species